AAUAGUUUUACCUUAAAAUUCAGACUUUCUACUAAAAUAAACUGUAAUUUUGAUCUUAUUUCAACCUUUAUUUUUGUUUUUAUUUUUAUUGACAUAAAUGUGUUUUUCUAAAAUUUGAAUUCAGCCUUUACUGAAAAUGUCCAUAAAACCUCAAAAGUCACUCAAAUUGAAACAAUAUUUUGUUAAACGUUAUGGUUCACUACAAACUACUAUUCCUUAAUGGGAUUUUCGUUUCAAAUUAAUAUAAGCUUAUUUGAAUAAAAGAUGAAAAACUGAAAAAUAUACCUAAAAUUAUCUCCCUUUGUAAAACUCUUCACAAUAAAAGGUAGAUUUAAUGUCAAUAACAGAAGGAGGGAAAUCAACAAAUGUGCAGAAGGAUAGAAAAUAAUGGUAUUUUUGAUGAAAAUGGUGUAGCCAAAAACUUAUUUUCAUUGAAAGAGUGUAACAAAGACAUAGUAAACCAUGUGGCUAAGACAGUCCCACUGCCAUUGGGAUAAGUCUGAUCCUGAUCAGAUAGUCUAGACAUGACUUAUGAGGCUAGACUAUCACUAUCAUGUCUAGGUUUCAGACUCACAUAACAUAAUUUUAAAUGCAUAUGCUGCAAACAUGGACAGGAGUUGGAUUGCAUGGGACAAGAAGACAAAAUGAGUUGCUGUCAUCCUUUCAUGACCCUUGCAAAUCUAGCAACAAAAAUUCGAAGGCAAACCGUUCAGUUACAUUUGGUUCUGGUUAAUGUUGAAGAUGGAAAAGCACCAAAAAAAAUGUGAAAAUGAAAGCAGAUAUGAUAGGAGAUCAUAUAGACAUUUGGUGAUCCAAAAAUAACUAGAGUUCAUGAAACAAGACUGAUUGCUGGGACACAUUUUUGUUGAUAAACAUGUUUAUGAUGAAGAAAAACUUAGAUAAUAUUACGGAUACUUGAAUAAGGCUCUGAUCUGUCUUUGAUUUUUCCUGUUGGUGUUAAAAAAUUGCAAGCUCAAAUAAAAACAAAUUGAAAUGGAACUCAUAGAUAUGCUUUGAAAAAAAGAAAUAAACAGCAAUGUGAAUCUUGCCGAAGUCUUACCAACAACCACGUCAACACACAGUUGCAACACAAAUGAGAAGAGAGAGACAUUUGCAAGGACUUAGAGUGUUCUCACUGUCUCACCAUCAGAAUAGCUUUCUCAUCAGCAAAGAAGAAGUAUAAAAUUUCUUCAGUAUAAAAAGGUCAUCAAUAUUGAAGACAAUCAAGAAGAUUACGGUUGUACUUGGCCAUUUGAUAAAUAUUAAAAUAUUUUCAUUUGUCAGAAAUUGUUACUUAGAUUGACUAACUAGUUUUAUUGAUUGAAUUAUUAGUAAAUUACCUUUCGUAGUUCAUGUAGUUACAUGUAGGUAAAAAAAUUUCAGAUAGUAUGGAAACAAUUUAAUAUGUCCGUAAAUUCCAUACAUAAUGCAACAAUUGUCUUGUGCUGCUAAGUCAAUUUGAAUUAACUUUUAUUUUACUUUGUAUGUUUAUAGUAAUCUUAUUCUUGCAUUUAAGCAUCAUUUUGUGUUAUUGUAUCAUCUUCAUUGAUUGUUAAAUAUAAUACUAAUGCUAUAAAAAAAAUAACAUUUAUGAUCAUUUAAACAGAUUGAAUUAUUUAAAAAUAUAUCAAUGCUAAAAGGAAUUUAUAAAUUUAGACAUUUUUCGAGGAGAAUUUUAGAAAGUACUACAUCAAAAGCAAACCAAUAGUAUAUGCUCAAAUGCACUAUUAUCUUUCUCACCAGAUAACCAAAUAGAGAUAUGUUUAUAUUUUAUUAAAUUGAUGAAGCUUAUGUUAGUUUAAAUAAAUAUGUACAUGCAAUUUUAAGGUUUUAAAAAACGACAUUUUUAUUGGAUUAUCUCCCUUUGUACAAUAGAAAUUCAGAUUUUAUCAUCACUGUCUCAGGUACUCAUGAUCAAAAUGACUUAUAUUGUUACCAGCAUGCAAGUAAAAGGUUGCAACUUUCUUAACUUUGUUGACCUGUAGAAUACAUAUUCUGAAUGUCAAUACUUAAGAUUUUUCAAUAUGAUGAACUUGACAUUAAAUUUCAUAUAAUUUUUGAGUAACCAGAAUAAAACUUUAGUAAUUAGCAAGCUGCAAUAACCAAAAUAGGAUUACUAGGAAGAAUUGAAAGGAUUUUACUCUUUAAAGUAAUAAGGACAAGUGUACUGAAGGAAUGUGAAAUAAAAAAAAUACCAAAAAAAAAUUGUUUUUGGCAGCUCCCCCCUUUUUUAAGCCUGAUGCUUACUAUUGUUUGUGACGCAAAAAUCCAUUUCACUUUGAAUUUUCUAUUUGAAUUACCUAUUUUGCAUAAUACAAUCUGUAUAAUUCAAGUAUUUAUUUUUGAAUGCUUGGUUUAAUUGAAAUAUGAGACUUUCCUCAAUUUAUUGCGAAAAUACACAAAAAAAAGGGGGGAGGCUAUCUAAAUAAUCAAUAAAAUCUAUAAAAUUAAUUUGCAACCGAAAUCCCUUCAAAAUAUUUUGAACCAAAGAAAAUGCAAUGUAUGUCUGACAUUUAGGGUAAAUUAAAGCGACUUUUGGGCUGUAGUGUCUGUUUUAGUGUGAUUUGAUGAAAAGGCCAUAUUUUUUAACACUUUAUGUGUUUUGCCACGCCCUUAUUUUCUAUAUAUAUCAUUAUGUUUAAUAAAAUUAUGUGAUUUAUACUUCAUACACAUCCUAUCUGUGCUAUUAAAGUAUUUAAACACUCAGAAGUUUUAUAGUAUUUAUUUUUAUUUGAGAAAUCUAUGAAAUCUAUGCAUUUCAGUAUAUGCAUCUAUAAAUAAACUCGGAAAUACCCUAAAUCUAUAUCGUUGCCAUGGUUACCAGCAGUGUAAGGGCUUCAAACUUGCAUGACUUUCAUAUAAGGUCAACCUGAACAUGUCAGCAAAGUUUUAUCAAAAUCAAACAACUUUGCAUGGAGCACCAUCUGCAUGGUUUUCUCAUAGAUGUCCAUUUAAGACGUAUCA